CAAGCCAGUUAUUCCCUUCCUAUAAUUAACGCUCUGUUUUUAUUUGUGAGAUUUAUUUUCCUUAAUUACGACACAAAUACGAUGAUCACUUCUGAUUUCAUUUUGUGCCGAUUCUGCAGCAUACGGAUCAUAGUAUCGUUGCUUCCAAUAAGUUGAACAAUUGUAGUUCUUCAUUCCCGUCGUGAGUUUGAGUAGCAGUUCAUUGUUAAUUCUUUCAUAUCUUCCAGUGUUAUUAACGAUUGAAGAAGUUUUUGUUGUACCUGAAUGUUCUGAAGAACUAAAGUCGGUCGUUGGUCGUUGUUUUUAAUCACUAGAUUUUGAGAAUGCAUUUUGUGAUGUGCAUGCCUGCAUCGUGGGUUUUGACAUUCGUAAACAAGACAUUAAAAAGGUUGAUGGGAAUGAGAAGGAGAAGCGUAAGGGCUAGAGGAAAUGUUGAUUUAUAUUAGUUUGCUUUUCAGACUUGGUGUUUUUUAAAUUUCGUUUAAAGCAUACAUUAUUCAAUCGUUAAAUUUUACAGUACAUUA